UGGGGAAUAUUGGACAAUGGGCGCAAGCCUGAUCCAGCCAUGCCGCGUGAGUGACGAAGGCCUUCGGGUUGUAAAGCUCUUUCGGCGGGGACGAAACGGUCCGUGACAACACCACGGACUAAUGACAGUACUCGCAGAAGAAGCACCGGCUAACUACGUGCCAGCAGCCGCGGUAAUACGUAGGGUGCAGGCGUUAAUCGGAAUUACUGGGCGUAAAGCGUGCGCAGGCGGCUCCUUAAGUCAGAUGUGAAAUCCCCGGGCUUAACCUGGGAACUGCGUUUGAAACUGAGGGGCUAGAGUGUGGAAGAGGGGGGUGGAAUUCCAGGUGUAGCAGUGAAAUGCGUAGAGAUCUGGAGGAACACCGAUGGCGAAGGCAGCCCCCUGGGCUAACACUGACGCUCAUGCACGAAAGCGUGGGGAGCAAACAGGAUUAGAUACCCGCGUAGUCCCUGAGCGGGCUGGCAAGGCGCAU
rnacentral:rRNA from 1 species